rnacentral:lncRNA from 1 species
CGGGUGAUGGUCAUACGGUUGUCUCAUUGUUUCUCCUUUGUUGGGUUUCGGUAAUUUAAAUCGGCAAUAUUGCUUAAGUUCUUUUCCUCUAGAUUCUCGUAUUUUUUUAAUCCCAAAACUUUGGAUUCUUAGCUUAUCAUUUUUUUUCUGCGAUUUCCAGGUCUGAUGAUAGAUAUAUUAACAAUUAUUCCAAUAAUUUUUAGAAGGAUUGGGUUUUUGGUGUGAUUGCCUGGUCCAGGAACAAGUAUUCCGGUAAUUUCUUGAUUAUGAUGGGUUUGAUCUUGGGUUUUCUUUUAUGUUUCUUUGGUGGUUUUGGCCCGUUUUCUUCAUUUUAGAGGUAUUUCUUCCUUCCUUUCUUCGGCGGUAUUCUUCUUUUGGUAUUAUGGUGAAUUUUAAUCUUUUCGUAAUUUGAACUUAUUUCAAUUACCUUAUUGAGAGUGGAAAAUUUGAUGGAGUUCUUCCCGUGUAGAUACUUUUUAUUUUUAUUGAAAAUUUUGGAUAUUUAUUUAUUAUUGAAUCCUAACGCGAUGAUAUAUCGUGAUUUUUAUUCCAGGCUGGGGGUUCGAGACCAGUCAGUCCCAAUGGAUCCAAUAAAUACAUCAAUUAAUUUCAUAUGUNN